UGUCGAAGUUUUCCUCGGUAGUUAACUGCAGUCGGUUCCAUAGUUCGACAGUUAACUACCGAGGGGCAU
rnacentral:pre_miRNA from 1 species